ACGGGGUGCAGCAGGCGCGAAAACUUCACACUGUGCGAAAGCGCGAUGAGGGAAUCCCAAGUGUUUGCUCGUAAGAGUAAACUGUUUCUUUGUUUAAAACGCAGAGAGAGUAAGGGCUGGGUAAGACGGGUGCCAGCCGCCGCGGUAAUACCUGCAGCUCAAGUGGUGAUCAUUAUUAUUGGGCCUAAAACGUCCGUAGCCGGUUUAGUAAAUGCCUGGGUAAAUCGUGUAGCUUAACUAUACGACUUCCGGGUAGACUGCUAAACUUGAGACCGGGUGAGGCUAGAGGUACUCCUGGGGUAGAGGUGAAAUUCUGUAAUCCUAGGGGGACCACCAGUGGCGAAGGCGCCUAGCUAGAACGGGUCUGACGGUGAGGGACGAAGCCCUGGGGCACAAACCGGAUUAGAUACCCGGGUAGUCCAGGGUGUAAACGCUGCUUGCUUGAUGUUAGUUGGGCUCCGAGCCCAACUAGUGUCGGAGAGAAGUUGUUAAGCAAGCUGCCUGGAAGUACGUCGCAAGGC
rnacentral:rRNA from 1 species